rnacentral:rRNA from 1 species
AUUGAACGCUGGCGGCAGGCCUAACACAUGCAAGUCGAGCGGAUGAAGGGAGCUUGCUCCUGGAUUCAGCGGCGGACGGGUGAGUAAUGCCUAGGAAUCUGCCUGGUAGUGGGGGACAACGUUUCGAAAGGAACGCUAAUACCGCAUACGUCCUACGGGAGAAAGCAGGGGACCUUCGGGCCUUGCGCUAUCAGAUGAGCCUAGGUCGGAUUAGCUAGUUGGUGAGGUAAUGGCUCACCAAGGCGACGAUCCGUAACUGGUCUGAGAGGAUGAUCAGUCACACGGGAACUGAGACACGGUCCAGACUCCUCCGGGAGGCAGCAGUGGGGAAUAUUGCACAAUGGGCGAAAGCCUAAUCCAGCCAUGCCGCGUGUGUGAAGAAGGUCUUCGGAUUGUAAAGCACUUUAAGUUGGGAGGAAGGGUUGUAGAUUAAUACUCUGCAAUUUUGACGUUACCGACAGAAUAAGCACCGGCUAACUCUGUGCCAGCAGCCGCGGUAAUCC